rnacentral:rRNA from 1 species
UCCCUCUCCCCGCUGGGAGAGGGACACCGGCCUGAGCGUGAUGUUGUUCGGACCUCAGAUCAGACAAGACCACCCGCUGAGUUUAAGCAUAUCACUAAGCGGAGGAGAAGAAACUAACAAGGAUUCCCCUAGAAAC